AAUUACUGAGAUAAUAUUGUAAGCUUUCCGUUUGAUUCAAUUUUAGGAGCAUUUUUUCCAACCCAAAUUUAGUCUAAUAAGAUAAAAUAUCAAAAACAGAGUUCUUAUGUCGCAUGUUCAGUUCUUAACAACAUAGGUUAUUAGUGACUUAAAGUUUUGCAACAAAAUUGUUUCUCCAGCAAACCUAAUUUUUUGCAGCUGCCAUGCUGUUUCUGCAGACUGCAGCACCGCCGCCGCUUCCUCUGCUCUAUACUUGACCAAGUGAAGAGAAGAGGAAUAGAGAGGCAACAAGCAGCCAAGGCAACUUUGCUUGCUGUGUUUUCGGCUGCAUGGUUGCGUCCCCCAUGGUACCUAGCGCGAUGGCACGAGAAGCCAAGGUCCCUCUCUGCGAGCAGCACUGGCGAUGGGGAUGUGAGGCUGUUGUAGUGGCUUCAGGCCCUCACGUUGACGAGCUCAAAAGGAUGCAGCCACGGGAAGGACAAGGGAACGAUGAGCAGCCAGCCAUGGUGGGUUUGGGGGGGAAAACACAACAGGGCUCCUCCCUACUAGCAUCAAUUUCUCAUCUUCAGUUUGACGAAGCUGCUAAGGUUAUGUAGAAGAGUUGUGUGUGCGUGUACUUGAUUUAGAGAAACCUUGAGGUAACCUAACUGCUCUUCCCUUUAAAAAUAGUUAAAUUCGUUGUUUUUCACUGAUUUCCUUUCAAGUUGCUUAUUUCUGAUAUAUUAAUGGAUAACACAACUAAAACGCCCAACAACUAGAAUGUUUUGUGUUUCUCUUGUAAUAAGCAGCAAACAAUUCAUAACCAAAUAAUAAAAAAGAGUAAUAGUUGCCUAAAAAAACUCGUUUAAUGGUAGUUUUUUAAAAUUAAAAGAAUAGCAACCAUGUACUCAAAUUACAAUUUAUAAAAUAGGAUCUCCCAUGUUUUCUCUACCUCUUUCUUCAGACAGAUCCAAAGUGGGUGGUUAAGAAACCCAGUUGUAUGUGCUACUAAAUUCUAACAUUAUGGUUCUAACUCAAGAUGGUCUAUUAUGGUCAUUCUUUGCCUGGUACCACCGGAUAAUUUCAUGACGACGAUAUGCAUCUAUAUACUAUUGCAAAAGAGUAGACUAAAAAUAAAUAUCUGAAACCACAAUUUUUAUUGAAGGCUGAGCUUUCUUAUAAGCUUACAUAUGUAUUGUGCGUCACAUACACUUUGCAACUAAUUGUGUUUGUCAGAUCAUAUGCCAAAUUUUCCUAUCUUUUACGUGGCUUCAGGCUUCUAUGAAGAUUCACAUUCACUCAAGUCAUAGCACGGUAAAACUUGUACAUCUGCGGUGGAAGAAAUUGCAUGUAUUUGGCCACUCUAUGGGUUACUCCUUGCUCUGCUGCGUCUUUCAAUUUUGGGAGCCUGUUUCUCAAAUGUGUGAUCUAUAGGCAUUGACCCUGCUGUUCUUGCAACCAGGUGCGCCGAUCUCUUGCAAUCUAGCGGCGAUAGCGCUUCACAGGCUGCAUUCACUGGCAUUGCUUAAUGUUAACGGGGGUGGCUUUCAGUGUUUCCCAAAGCAGAAGACUUGCUACGUCUUCAAGCUAGUUCAGUGUUUCCGGCACAGGCUCCUACCGCCCUUUCCCUUUCUGCUGCUACUGCUACCCUCGGAGCCAUGUCGAUGGCUGGCAGACGACCCGGCACCUCCCGCCGCUGCCCUCGGACUUGGAGGAGGCGCCGCCGGGUACGAGUAAGACAGGGGCACCGCGGAUGCAGGCAUCAUCACCGGCACGGCAGCAGGGUAGUGAGGCAUCGUCUGAAGCAUGGCAGCACCGAAGGGAACCAUCGUCGUCGGAGCGGAGGCGAGGACCACCGGAGGUGCUGGCAUCAUCGGCACGGUGACCCCCGGCGGGGCCCCCGGAGGUGCGUACUGCGGUGGCACGACAGGGACCGCCGGCGGCGGCGGCGGACGGGCAGGGCCGAUGGACAUCGCCUGUACAUGGUGCUGCAGCGAUUUCAUGUACUGGAUGGUCUGGUCCAGCCAGCGUCGAGGCCUGGUUGGACUGAAAAUUGCACACACAAAAAAAAGCCGACCAUCCCUGUCAGAACUCAGAAGACAACACUGAACACAGCAAUCACGCAUGCGUAUAGUCAGUCAUCAGGCAGAUUAUACAUGAGAAUGUUUUAUAUAUGGAAAUGCA